rnacentral:rRNA from 1 species
AAAUUGAAGAGUUUGAUCAUGGCUCAGAUUGAACGCUGGCGGCAGGCCUAACACAUGCAAGUCGAACGGUAACAGGAAACAGCUUGCUGUUUCGCUGACGAGUGGCGGACGGGUGAGUAAUGUCUGGGAAACUGCCUGAUGGAGGGGGAUAACUACUGGAAACGGUAGCUAAUACCGCAUAACGUCGCAAGACCAAAGAGGGGGACCUUAGGGCCUCUUGCCAUCGGAUGUGCCCAGAUGGGAUUAGCUAGUAGGUGGGGUAACGGCUCACCUAGGCGACGAUCCCUAGCUGGUCUGAGAGGAUGACCAGCCACACUGGAACUGAGACACGGUCCAGACUCCUACGGGAGGCAGCAGUGGGGAAUAUUGCACAAUGGGCGCAAGCCUGAUGCAGCCAUGCCGCGUGUAUGAAGAAGGCCUUCGGGUUGUAAAGUACUUUCAGCGGGGAGGAAGGGAGUAAAGUUAAUACCUUUGCUCAUUGACGUUACCCGCAGAAGAAGCACCGGCUAACUCCGUGCCAGCAGCCGCGGUAAUACGGAGGGUGCAAGCGUUAAUCGGAAUUACUGGGCGUAAAGCGCACGCAGGCGGUUUGUUAAGUCAGAUGUGAAAUCCCCGGGCUCAACCUGGGAACUGCAUCUGAUACUGGCAAGCUUGAGUCUCGUAGAGGGGGGUAGAAUUCCAGGUGUAGCGGUGAAAUGCGUAGAGAUCUGGAGGAAUACCGGUGGCGAAGGCGGCCCCCUGGACGAAGACUGACGCUCAGGUGCGAAAGCGUGGGGAGCAAACAGGAUUAGAUACCCUGGUAGUCCACGCCGUAAACGAUGUCGACUUGGAGGUUGUGCCCUUGAGGCGUGGCUUCCGGAGCUAACGCGUUAAGUCGACCGCCUGGGGAGUACGGCCGCAAGGUUAAAACUCAAAUGAAUUGACGGGGGCCCGCACAAGCGGUGGAGCAUGUGGUUUAAUUCGAUGCAACGCGAAGAACCUUACCUGGUCUUGACAUCCACGGAAGUUUUCAGAGAUGAGAAUGUGCCUUCGGGAACCGUGAGACAGGUGCUGCAUGGCUGUCGUCAGCUCGUGUUGUGAAAUGUUGGGUUAAGUCCCGCAACGAGCGCAACCCUUAUCCUUUGUUGCCAGCGGUCGGCCGGGAACUCAAAGGAGACUGCCGGUGAUAAACCGGAGGAAGGUGGGGAUGACGUCAAGUCAUCAUGGCCCUUACGACCAGGGCUACACACGUGCUACAAUGGCGCAUACAAAGAGAAGCGACCUCGCGAGAGCAAGCGGACCUCAUAAAGUGCGUCGUAGUCCGGAUUGGAGUCUGCAACUCGACUCCAUGAAGUCGGAAUCGCUAGUAAUCGUGGAUCAGAAUGCCACGGUGAAUACGUUCCCGGGCCUUGUACACACCGCCCGUCACACCAUGGGAGUGGGUUGCAAAAGAAGUAGGUAGCUUAACCUUCGGGAGGGCGCUUACCACUUUGUGAUUCAUGACUGGGGUGAAGUCGUAACAAGGUAACCGUAGGGGAACCUGCGGUUGGAUCACCUCCUUACCUUAAAGAAGC